rnacentral:tRNA from 1 species
UCUUAGGUAGCUUCAAUUGGUUAAAGCCCUGGAUUUUACUAGGAGAUUGUGGGUUCGAAUCCCACCCUAAGAA